rnacentral:rRNA from 1 species
AGCGAACGCUGGCGGCAGGCCUAACACAUGCAAGUCGAACGGACCCUUCGGGGUUAGUGGCGGACGGGUGAGGAACACGUGGGAACGUGCCUUUAGGUUCGGAAUAGCUCCUGGAAACGGGUGGUAAUGCCGAAUGUGCCCUUCGGGGGAAAGAUUUAUCGCCUUUAGAGCGGCCCGCGUCUGAUUAGCUAGUUGGUGAGGUAAUGGCUCACCAAGGCGACGAUCAGUAGCUGGUCUGAGAGGAUGACCAGCCAAAUUGGGACUGAGACACGGCCCAAACUCCUACGGGAGGCAGCAGUGGGGAAUCUUGCGCAAUGGGCGAAAGCCUGACGCAGCCAUGCCGCGUGAAUGAUGAAGGUCUUAGGAUUGUAAAAUUCUUUCACCGGGGACGAUAAUGACGGUACCCGGAGAAGAAGCCCCGGCUAACUUCGUGCCAGCCGCCGCCGUAAUAC